AACGAACGCUGGCGGCAUGCCUAACACAUGCAAGUCGAACGAGACCUUCGGGUCUAGUGGCGCACGGGUGCGUAACGCGGGGGAACCUGCCCUUAGGUUCGGAAUAACUCCCCGAAAGGGGUGCUAAUACCGGAUAAUGUCUUCGGACCAAAGAUUUAUCGCCUUUGGAUGGGCCCGCGUUGGAUUCGCUAGUUGGUAGGGUAAAACCCUACCAAUGCGACGAUCCAUAGCUGGUCUGAGAGGAUGAGCAGCCACACUGGGACUGAGACACGGCCCAGACUCCUACGGGAGGCAGCAGUGGGGAAUAUUGGAAAAUGGGCGAAAGCCUGAUGCAGCACUGACGGGUGAGUGAUGAAGGCCUGAGGGUUGUAAAGCUCUUUUACCCGGGACGAUAAUGACAGUACCGGGAGAAUAAGCACCGGCUAACUCCGUG
rnacentral:rRNA from 1 species